rnacentral:lncRNA from 10 species
UGAGAUAGGAGCUUGAAAUGCUUCAUGGUGCCAAGACUGUCAUAAACGGCUCCUGAGGUCUGAAAAAACGACAGCAGGAUUCAGCGUUCCUCUGACAACCACUCAGAAAAUAGAAUGUGAAGAAGAAGGAGGAAGGGAAGAUGCGGGGCCAGCCAUCAGAAUGCUCCCUGUGGCUCCAUGGAUGCCUGGAAAUGCUGGCCACUUAAAGGGCACAGGUUACAGAAUGUCAGAUGACUGAAGUAAAAGAGGAAGUAACAUUGCUCAGAGAUGGAGAUUUGUGGCUUCUCUCUUUGGAAAGAUGAGAAAGGGACUAGAAAAUCCUCCGGAUGGGCCUUCAAAGGAUGUAGGCUCCAUUUCUGCAGAUGCCUCAUGAUCAGGGAUAGCUGCUCAAGUUCUCCCUAUUACAUCUCAUGUCCUCCAUCAGUUUUCAACUGCAGAGAACUGAAUCUGCUCCAGCUACUUGACACACAAAUGGCUCUAUUCCUGUACUAAAGAGCUUCUGGAAUCCUAGACAAGGCAGAAACACAAACUCUGUGUUAAUAUUUUGGGACUAACACCCAAAGUCACCUGAAAGAGCGGGGCCACCAAGGUAGCUACUGUCCCUUCUUGUCCCUUCUAUGACCAAGAAGCUCCUUUUCUGAUUGGAAUGCUGUCACUCCGCUUGCUGGGUCCAGAACCUCAGAGCUCCUGCACAAUGAGGGAGCUGCAAUCCCAGGAAGCCACACAAUCCCAAAGCUGUAAUGAUUGGGAAUCUCAUACCACAGAUGCUGUCUUCAGAACCAAGCUGUUUCUGCUUCGGUCUGCACCCAUGACUUCAGUGACCAGAAAUGAAGACCUCAGCAAAUGCUUCUUCCCAGCAUAACUGGAUGCUUGCCCAGUGGGGCUUGCCAGAAGGAACAACAGAAGCAACACCUCUCCAUUUUGCUUUACAUCUACCUUCCAAAUCAUCACUUGUGUACCUGAGGGGUCGAGCAUUCACCGCAUACAAAAGCAUAGCUGCAAGAAAUUGGGGGAAAGUCAUUUUUAGCUUUUCAGUCUUUGAAACAUAAGAAGACACUCUAGAGGGAGUUGCAAUAGACAGUAAGUGUUAAUUCACAAUUCCGCCAAAAUAUUCCAGGAAGAGGGAAGGAGAAAGAAAGGGGAAGGAUAAAAGGACAUCCUCCUUCACUAGCUCAGUGAUCUUUAAGAAACUUUUCAUGAAGCCCCACUAGAUGAUUUUCAUUUGCCCUUCAUUACCUACUCUUAACUGCAGGGGAGACUGGGAAAUGCAGAACUUUAGCUUUAUGUGUUGCCUCCCAGAAUAAAAUGGGGUUUUGUUAGAAAGAAGUAAAUAAACAAGAUAAUGAAUAUUUGGUGGGUAAUUAAUACAGCUGACCCUGGAACAGCACAGGUUUGAACUGCUUGGUCCACUUAUAAGUGGAUUUUCUUUCACCUCUGCCACUCUGAGAUAGCAAGACCAAUCCCUCCUCUUCCUUCUCCUCCUCAGCGUGAAGCUGGUGAAUAUGAAGACCUUUAAGAUGAUUCACUUCCACUUAUGAAUGGUAAAUAUAUUUUCUUUUCCUUAUUAUUUUCACAAUAACGUUUUAUUUUCUCAAGUUUCUCAAGUUUGUUCUAUUGUAGAAAUAUAGCAGACAAGAUAAUACAUAUAACACAAAAAUCUGUGCUAAUCAACUAUUUAUAUUAACAGUAAGGCUUUUGGUCAACAUUAGGCUAUUAGUAGUUAAGUUUUUGGGGAAUCAAAAGUUUUAUAUGCAUUUCUGAAUGCAUGGAGAGAACAACAUGGGACUUAGGUUGGUGCCUUAAUUCCUAUGUUGCUCAAGAGUCAACUAUGGUUUCAGCUGAAGCCUGCUCUUUUUUUCUCAAUGUCUAUACUCAUCCUUCUUUUCUUAC